GGGGGUGAAGGGUUUCGACUUAUUGACAAAGCAAAAGGUUGCAUGCCGUGGAGGUAAACCCGCAUGUAUCAGGGAUUACAAAAAUUUAAAUGCAAAAACACAUGUAACAGCACCUGAAUAUUGUUUAGCAUAAAAGCUUAACGAUAUGAGGACUUUUAUGGAAACCUCCUCAAAUACCAUAAAGGUUAAUUAAUGAGGAUAGAAACAAACUUUAUCCAAUUGAGGGUUUGGAUCGAAACAAUAUCAAUGGUGCUAGUUAAGAUAUCCCGCCUUUUGGAGAUCUUAAGGAAAGAUAAACAUAAGGCUAAGCAUGUAGUAACUUUUUGACGACUCCGUAAGGACGCGGGUUCAAUUCCCGCCACCUCCAUUC
rnacentral:tmRNA from 1 species